AUACGGAGGGUGCAAGCGUUAUCCGGAAUCACUGGGUUUAAAGGGUGCGUAGGCGGCGCUAUAAGUCAGAGGUGAAAGCCCCCAGCUCAACUGGGGAACUGCCUUUGAUACUGUAGUGCUUGAAUCAGGUUGAGGUUAGCGGAAUGUGUCAUGUAGCGGUGAAAUGCAUAGAUAUGACAUAGAACACCAAUUGCGAAGGCAGCUGACUAGACCUGUAUUGACGCUGAGGCACGAAAGCGUGGGGAGCGAACAGGAUUAGAAACCCGAGUAGUCC
rnacentral:rRNA from 1 species